GGGCAACUAGUCUGAGCGUGCUGCUUGGCACAGCACGCACGCCCUUCUUCUUUUUUUGUUUCACUCGACGUCAAAACGACAUCGUUGCACUUAAGUUUUUAUUUUUUAUUUUUAAAACCGGGCCAGAACGACGUUGUUUGGCACAAUUUAAAAAAAACAAAAAAACUGGCAGUAAUUGCUGUUGCUACCCAACAAUACCUCUCUCCUCCUUCCCUUUCUUUCUUUUCCUUCUCUCUCUUUUUAAUUUUUUUUCUUUUCUUUUCUCUCUCUUCUCUCUUCUCUCUCUCUCUCUUUCUCCUCUUUUUUGAUGAAAAAGCCUUUGUUAUAAUAUUAUCUUUCUUUUCCUUAUUUUAUAAUUAAUACUCACAAAUCCCGGGUGACAACUUCGUCUAUAAAAUGAAACAAGAGGAAAACACAAAAUCACAACUCAGGGAAAAAAAAAAACCUCAACAAAAAAAUCCGCCAAUUUUCUUACAGGACUUCCAUCAAUCUGAAAACAAAAUCAAAAUGGAAUUCCUUUCGAUUCCUAAAAGCUCAUCAGAUUUGAAUUUAUCUCUUGCUCCUCC
rnacentral:lncRNA from 1 species